AGCGGCGGACGGGUGAGUAACACGUAGGCAACCUGCCUGCAAGACUGGGAUAACUACCGGAAACGGUAGCUAAUACCGGAUACGCAAGAGAGUCGCAUGAUUUUCUUGGGAAAGACGGAGCAAUCUGUCACUUGCGGAUGGGCCUGCGGCGCAUUAGCUAGUUGGUGAGGUAACGGCUCACCAAGGCGACGAUGCGUAGCCGACCUGAGAGGGUGAACGGCCACACUGGGACUGAGACACGGCCCAGACUCCUACGGGAGGCAGCAGUAGGGAAUCUUCCGCAAUGGACGAAAGUCUGACGGAGCAACGCCGCGUGAGUGAUGAAGGUUUUCGGAUCGUAAAGCUCUGUUGCCAGGGAAGAACGUCGGGUAGAGUAACUGCUAUCCGAGUGACGGUACCUGAGAAGAAAGCCCCGGCUAACUACGUGCCAGCAGCCGCGGUAAUACGUAGGGGGCAAGCGUUGUCCGGAAUUAUUGGGCGUAAAGCGCGCGCAGGCGGCCAUUUAAGUCUGGUGUUUAAUCCCGGGGCUCAACUCCGGGUCGCAUCGGAAACUGGGUGGCUGGAGUGCA
rnacentral:rRNA from 1 species